rnacentral:misc_RNA from 1 species
UUAACUUUUGAUACACUGUAUCCCGAGUUCGAAUUCUAUACUGUUGUUAGAAUUUUUAACGAGUGGUCAGAGAAAUUUCUAAAGGAAAGAGCAGCCGAAAUGACGAAAUUUCUUCACAUUGCUCCCCAUAUAUAUGAGAAGUAUUUGCAGCCCAAACGCUAAAGAGAAGAACUUUGUAUUAGAAGAGCCGGAGGCAAUUAAUGAACAUCUCAAACGCCUACUCAGAGGUGACUCCAGCAGUCCCUUCAUGGCUAAACAAAGGGGACAACGCAUGGCAAAUGACAGCAUCGACUCUCGUAGCCAUCCAGAGCAUGCCAGGGCUUGUCAUCCUCUACGCGAGCAUCGUCAAGAAAAAAUGGGCUGUCAACUCUGCCUUCAUGGCCCUUUACGCCUUCGCUGCCGUCCUAAUUUGCUGGGUGCUGUUGUGCUACCGGAUGGCCUUUGGGGAUGAGCUCCUUCCUUUCUGGGGUAAGGGUGCUCCUGCUCUAGGCCAAAAGUAUCUCGUUGCCCGAGCUAAAGUCCCUGAAAGUACCCAUGUAAGUGAUGGAAAAUCUAAGACUGUUGAGCCUUACUACGCCAUGGCCACGCUCGUCUACUUUCAAUUCACUUUUGCUGCUAUUACGCUUAUUCUACUUGCGGGUUCUGUUCUUGGCCGCAUGAACAUUAAAGCUUGGAUGGCUUUUGUGCCUUUAUGGCUUAUAUUCUCUUAUACUGUUGGUGCUUUUAGUCUCUGGGGUGGCGGCUUUCUAUAUCAAUGGGGUGCAAUCGAUUACUCCGGUGGCUUUGUUAUUCACCUCUCCUCAGGAAUUUCAGGGCUAACCGCAGCUUAUUGGGUUGGGCCAAGGCUAAAAAGCGAUAGGGAGAGAUUUCCCCCAAAUAACGUGUUGCUGAUGCUUGCGGGUGCUGGGUUGCUAUGGAUGGGUUGGUCGGGCUUCAAUGGUGGCGCACCAUAUGCAGCCAAUAU